GGCCUCGUAGCUCAUUUGGCUAGAGCAUUGACUGUACUAAAGCCUUCCUCUUGCUGGCGUGGGUUUGAAUCCCAUCAAGGCCA
rnacentral:tRNA from 1 species